GUGUUGGUGACGCCCAGCGGGAUGGCCCCCGCUCUCUUCAACUGGGCCACAGCUGGAGAAUCGACGGUGGCUACGACUCGUCGCCUGGAGAUCACGCCUGUAGUGAAGGGCAUACCUGCAACAUGGAAGCAUGUCCAAUCCUCAGGCCGACAUGUGUAACCAAAGGAAAGUAGCUGGUUUAAAGUGGCUGGAAGGUGAUAACUGGACGUUACCCUGGAGGGCAAAGGACUCUUUGACAGACAUCGGCACUCCCAGUAAAGGCAGUCGGUCCUCCAGCACCUCCUCUCCUCCAGUCUCCUCCUCGAUCAGCUUGUCUACCUGGGCCGCCUCCUGGAGGGCAGCAGCGAACCUGGACAGAGGAUUUUUUGAUUCAGAUACUGUUGAUGCCUCCACAACAUCCUCACAUACUGGUAAGCUGGC